AACGAACGCUGGCGGCGUGGAUAAGACAUGCAAGUCGAACGGAACAUUAUGAGUAGCAAUACAAGUAAUGUUUAGUGGCGAACGGGUGCGUAACACGUGGAUACAUUCCGGGAAGCGGGGGAUAGCCCAGGGAAACUUGGAUUAAUACCGCAUGUGAUCGAAAGAUCAAAGACGGGGACCGCAAGGCCUGUCACUUCCCGAUUGGUCCGCGGCCUAUCAGCUAGUUGGCGGGGUAAAAGCCCACCAAGGCGACGACGGGUAGCUGGUCUGAGAGGACGACCAGCCACACUGGAACUGAGACACGGUCCAGACACCUACGGGUGGCAGCAGUCGAGAAUCUUUCACAAUGGGGGCAACCCUGAUGGAGCGACGCCGCGUGGAGGAUAAGGUCUUCGGAUUGUAAACUCCUGUCAUGCGUGAACAAGAUUGCAGGGCUAAUAACCCGAGCAAGUUGAUGGUAACGCAAGAGGAAGAGACGGCUAACUCUGUGCCAGCCGCCG
rnacentral:rRNA from 1 species